UACGAAGGGUGCAAACGUUGCUCGGAAUCAUUGGGCGUAAAGCGCACGUAGGCGGCUUCGCAAGUCGGAUGUGAAAUCCCAUGGCUCAACCAUGGACGUGCAUCCGAAACUGCGGAGCUUGAGUACUGAAGAGGAUCGCGGAAUUCCCGGUGUAGAGGUGAAAUUCGUAGAUAUCGGGAGGAACACCUGUGGCGAAGGCGGCCAUCUGGACAGUCACUGACACUGAGACGCGAAAGCGUGGGUAGCAAACAGG
rnacentral:rRNA from 1 species